GAUGAACGCUGACAGAAUGCUUAACACAUGCAAGUCGAUGGGGACGUGGUGCUUGCACCAGGGUGACCAUGGCGGACGGGUGAGAAACGCGUAAGGAACUGGCCCGCGGGACUGGGAUAACAGCUGGAAACUGCUGAUAUUAUCGGAGAAGGUCAUUAAGCUGCAUAGGUUAGAGAUGAAAGGAGACGCCUGUGGGGAGCCUUGCGUCGUAUUAGCUAGUUGGGGGGGGAACGGCCCACCAAGGCGGCGAUGGGUAGCCGGCCUGAGGGGGUGGGGGGCCACAGGGGAACUGAGAUACGGCCCUCACUCCUAGGGGGGGCGGCGGUGGGAAAUUUUGGACAGGGCGGAAGACUCUGAUCCAGCAAUUCUGUGUGCACGAAGACGGUUUUCGGAGUGUAAAGUGCUUUCAGCUGGGAAGAAGAAAGUGACGGUACCUGCAGAAGAAGCGACGGCUAAAUACGUG
rnacentral:rRNA from 1 species